CUCAGGAUGAACGCUGGCGGCGUGCUUAACACAUGCAAGUCGAACGAUGAAGCCCAGCUUGCUGGGUGGAUUAGUGGCGAACGGGUGAGUAACACGUGAGUAACCUGCCCUUAACUCUGGGAUAAGCCUGGGAAACUGGGUCUAAUACCGGAUAGGAGCGUCCACCGCAUGGUGGGUGUUGGAAAGAUUUAUCGGUUUUGGAUGGACUCGCGGCCUAUCAGCUUGUUGGUGAGGUAAUGGCUCACCAAGGCGACGACGGGUAGCCGGCCUGAGAGGGUGACCGGCCACACUGGGACUGAGACACGGCCCAGACUCCUACGGGAGGCAGCAGUGGGGAAUAUUGCACAAUGGGCGCAAGCCUGAUGCAGCGACGCCGCGUGAGGGAUGACGGCCUUCGGGUUGUAAACCUCUUUCAGUAGGGAAGAAGCGAAAGUGACGGUACCUGCAGAAGAAGCACCGGCUAACUACGUGCCAGCAGCCGCGGUAAUACGUAGGGUGCGAGCGUUAUCCGGAAUUAUUGGGCGUAAAGAGCUCGUAGGCGGUUUGUCGCGUCUGUCGUGAAAGUCCGGGGCUUAACCCCGGAUCUGCGGUGGGUACGGGCAGACUAGAGUGCAGUAGGGGAGACUGGAAUUCCUGGUGUAGCGGUGGAAUGCGCAGAUAUCAGGAGGAACACCGAUGGCGAAGGCAGGUCUCUGGGCUGUAACUGACGCUGAGGAGCGAAAGCAUGGGGAGCGAACAGGAUUAGAUACCCUGGUAGUCCAUGCCGUAAACGUUGGGCACUAGGUGUGGGGACCAUUCCACGGUUUCCGCGCCGCAGCUAACGCAUUAAGUGCCCCGC
rnacentral:rRNA from 1 species